UACGUAGGGUGCAAGCGUUGUCCGGAAUUAUUGGGCGUAAAGAGCUUGUAGGCGGUUUGGCGCGUCUGCUGUGAAAUUUCGGGGCUCAACCCCGAACUUGCAGUGGGUACGGGCAGACUAGAGUGUGGUAGGGGAGACUGGAAUUCCUGGUGUAGCGGUGAAAUGCGCAGAUAUCAGGAGGAACACCGAUGGCGAAGGCAGGUCUCUGGGCCACUACUGACGCUGAGAAGCGAAAGCAUGGGGAGCGAACAGG
rnacentral:rRNA from 1 species